UACGGAAGGGGCGAGCGUUGUUCGGAAUCAUUGGGCGUAAAGGGCGCGUAGGUGGUCUUGUAUGUCUACCGUGAAAGCAUACGGCUCAACCGUGUUCCGUCGGUAGAAACUGCAGGACUUGAGGCUGGGAGGGGCUGGUGGAAUUCCCUGUGUAGCGGUGAAAUGCGUAGAGAUGGGGGAGAACACUCGUGGCGAAGGCGGCCAGCUAGACCAGUUCUGACACUGAGGCGCGAUAGCGUGGGGAGCAAACAGG
rnacentral:rRNA from 1 species